rnacentral:rRNA from 1 species
CUCUCCGAAUACUAUGUUGCUACUAUCGCUCUGGUGUUCCACUUCCACGUGGUACUCCAGUUUCGAUCCUGGUUUUUAGUUACUCGCUGAGUCUUAUCAUGAUUACAGGUGUUGCAUGGCUGUCUCUAGUUCGUGUUGUGAAAUGUUAGGUUAAUUCCGAAAACGAACGCAAUCCUUCUCUUUAAUUAGUUCUCAAAAAAAAAGAUCAUCUUAAAGAUAUGUCUGCCGAGAUGGUAGAAGAAUUAGGAUUAAGACAAGUCCUCAUGACCCUUAUGAAGUGGGCUACAGACGUGCCACAAAAGUUUUUACAAUGGGAUGCAAAGAUUCAUUAACUGAGCUAAUCCCUAAAAGUUACUCCAG